AUGUUUGUUUGUUUUUUUCGGAGGAAAAGGAGAAGCGAUCGGGAUGAUGGUGCUUCACACCCCAGAGGGAGUUUCGCUUCACAGAUAAGCGCCCUGAGUCAUGAGCUGAAUACGUGCCAGAAGGUUUCAAUGGCAGAAGUAAAUCCUAUCAAAGUUUGCUGUUGUGGUUGGACUGCUGACUCAAAGCGCUCGCUACGUGAGCUACCAGGGAGAGAUGGGGCUGGCAGUAAGUCACGCAGUGGCUCAUGUGGAAAUUGGGAGGCAGAAAUUGUUCUGCACAUGAACAAGAAACAAUCUGGAACCUGAAGAGCUGAGAAUAAACUUGAGGCAAACUGGUUUGAAGACAGAAUUUAUAAAAUCCCACAAAAUCUGUGUCUGUUGUAUGAUCUAUUCUCCUCAUUAAAGUGGGUCAGCUUUAAAUAGAAAUAUUUUAACCUUGCUGCUCUCUCAUAAUGCCUUCCAUAUUGACACACCUGCCUUUUCUUUGCAAUUUCAAAGACCUUAAGCAGUAAUGCUAAUGACACUCCUCUUUGGAAUGUGUUAGACAGAAAUAUUCUUGACUGAGUGCGGCAGGAAAUUGAAAUGGUGUGAUGCCAGAAACUGAAGAAGACUCGUGUUUGAACAGCACUGGGAAAUGGAGGGACUUUGCUUGCAAAAGUUCCCUUUGGGAUUUUCUCUCCUACUUUCUCUCAGCAAGGGCAGAUGCAGGUCUAAGUUUCAGCCCAACACUGACUGUGAGAACAAAUCACUUUUUUCAGAAUACAAACACAACUGGAGCUAUCAGACCACCCCUGAACCAGCCUAGGAUCCUUCACAACACAGUCUGA
rnacentral:lncRNA from 1 species